rnacentral:rRNA from 1 species
CAGUAGCCGCGGGAAUACGAAGGGGGCUAGCGUUGCUCGGAAUUACUGGGCGUAAAGGGCGCGUAGGCGGACAGUUCAGUCGGGGGUGAAAGCCCGGGGCUCAACCUCGGAAUUGCCUUCGAUACUGGCUGUCUUGAGUAUGAGAGAGGUGUGUGGAACUCCGAGUGUAGAGGUGAAAUUCGUAGAUAUUGGGAAGAACACCAGUGGCGAAGGCGACACACUGGCUCAUUACUGACGCUGAGGCGCGAAAGCGUGGGGAGCAAACAGGAUUAGAUACCCGCGUAGUCCCUGUCUCUUAUAC